rnacentral:rRNA from 1 species
UGAAACUGCGAAUGGCUCAUUAAAACAGUUAUAGUUUAUUUGAUAAUCGAAUUUACAUGGAUAACCGUGGUAAUUCUAGAGCUAAUACAUGCUGGUUAGCCUGACUUUUGAGGAAGGGCUGUAUUUAUUAGAUAACAAACCAAUAUUCCCCGUGUCUAUUGUGAUGACUCAUAAUAACUGAUCGAAUCGCAUGGACUUUGUCCGCGAUAAAUCAUUCAAGUUUCUGCCCCAUCAGCUUUCGAUGGUAGUGUAUUGGACUACCAUGGCUUUAACGGGUAACGGAGGAUUAGGGUUCGAUCCCGGAGAGGGAGCCUGAGAAACGGCUACCACAUCUAAGGAAGGCAGCAGGCGCGUAAAUUACCCAAUCCUGACUCAGGGAGGUAGUGACAAGAAAUAACG